UUGCACUUUCAGGUCUCAGUGAAGUGACAACAUAUGAGUGGGAGAAAAUACUUGCAAAAUACAUCUGAUAAAAGAGAGUGCUGUGUCGGAAGUGGGUUCUGAUACUUCCAUAAUAAGAGCAGAACUCAUUGGAAACAACAUGCCAUCCUGAUGCAACCAGUAUUGCAACAUAAUUAUCAUUUCUGAGAGGGUAUCUGUUCUAAAUUUGUGAUUUUCUCUUUAUUAAGGAGAAGGGGCAAGAAUCUAAUUGAAGCAUCUCAAGAGAAUAUUUUCAUGUUGGACUGUAUUUCCCCCCAUCCUCUC
rnacentral:lncRNA from 1 species